rnacentral:tRNA from 1 species
CCUGGUGGUGUUAACAGUUAAAUACUUGGCUGUGAACCGAAAGGUUGUUGGUUCAAACCCAACCAUCAGCU